rfam:Ciona savignyi cont_30044, whole genome shotgun sequence.
ACAUCCCUGGUCUAGUGGUUAGGAUUCCUGGCUUUCACCCAGGCGGCCCGGGUUCGAUUCCCGGUGUA